rnacentral:sRNA from 1 species
AGUAACCAAAUAUAAUACUUGGACUAAGGGUUAAGUUAGUAAUUUUUCUUACAUCUCCCCCCUCUCNU